rnacentral:lncRNA from 1 species
UGAAUCAAGUUUUUUUCUUUUCUUCAUCUGCCUUCUGUUCAUUCAAGCUCACAAUUGGGGGAAGAAAUUUUAGGGUUUGUUAAAGGAGAUGGUCAGAGCUCAGAACGAGGGCAAUGGAUUGGAAUUUAGGGUUCUUCGAUCUCGGUUUUAGGGUUUCGUGUUAACCAGGUAACUUCCUGGUCUGACUCAUUUGUGUUUCAUCAGGAUCCAAUAGGACUCAAGGCGCUUAAUCUAUCUGAAUGAACGAUUGAGGGAGAAAGCUCUUGAAAAGAAACCUAAAAUCUGGGACAUUUUGAAAGCUAAUGCAUCAUUCCAACAAAGCAUUAGUGAAAAAACCAUCCAAUCAGUUGCCAGAAUCAAGCUGAGAUGCAAAUUAGAGAGACAACAUCAAAUGAAAUGACAUCGAGGUUAAAAGUGUGCUUGAUCCUUGUGAGUAUGAUAAUGUGACUUUGGGAGGUGACUCAAUGCAGCAAGAUCGAGAUAUUGAAACUGAUAGUGAGAUAGAGUACCCAAUAUAUUGUGUUAAUCUAUGACUGACCCACUACAUGGAUGCAAGGGUCAAAAGUUUUGAUUCAAUUGUCCAAUACAUAUACAUGACUGACCCACUAUAUGGAUCCAUUUAUUACGGUCAUAAUUUCUCUUUUU